GAUGAACGCUGGCGGCAUGCCUAAUACAUGCAAGUCGAACGAGAGGAAGGAAAGCUUGCUUUUCUGAAUCUAGUGGCGAACGGGUGAGUAACACAUAGGUAACCUGCCCAUGUGCCCGGGAUAACUUCUGGAAACGGAUGCUAAAACCGGAUAGGUAGCAGACAAGCAUUUGACUGCUAUUAAAGUGGCUAAGGCCAUGAACAUGGAUGGACCUGCGGUGCAUUAGCUAGUUGGUGAGGUAACGGCCCACCAAGGCGUCGAUGCAUAGCCGGGCUGAGAGGACGGACGGCCACAGUGGGACUGAGACACGGCCCAAACUCCUACGGGAGGCAGCAGUAGGGAAUUUUCGUCAAUGGGGGGAACCCUGAACGAGCAAUGCCGCGUGAGUGAGGAAGGUCUUCGGAUCGUAAAGCUCUGUUGUAAGAGAAAAACGACAUUCAUAGGGAGUGAUGAGUGAGUGAUGGUAUCUUACCAGAAAGUCACGGCUAACUACGUGCCAGCCGCCGCAGUAA
rnacentral:rRNA from 1 species